ACAUCACCGCGGUAGGAAUUAGAAUCAAACUUAUGGGAAAGGAGACUCAUUGGACAUCAAUCAGCGGGAUGAGAACUAUUGAUAACAAAAGAAAGAAUCUUUGGAAAAAGUUUAUCUUAGGAGAAUUAAUUUAUUUUAGUCUGACCCCAGUCCCAUCCACUAACAUGGAGGAGGCGGGAUUUAUGACCUAUACUGCAGCCAGACACCAGGGGGCGAUAGAGACGUUUUGGCUUCAUUUUUGGGGAGCUGUCGCGUCGUCCAUCUUUUAUACAAUCAUUGAUACGCACCUACUGGCAUGCCCCUUUAAAUUUCUUCAUAAAUGUUAUUUUCAUUCAUUCAUUUUCAUUCAUUUAUUUGUUCAUUUUCAGGCACAACAAAUACCUAUAUUGAACAUAAAAUGCACAAAACAAAAAAACUAAAAUUGCCUGAAAAAGGAGUGGGGCGAAGAAAACUUAUUAAAUCCCACCCCUGUACUCACUCAUCAACAAAAAAAACAAUAAACUUCCCGCAGCUACGCCCAUCAUUGCAUACAGACCCAUCAACAGCCCCGGGCAGAUACAAGCAUCUAAACGGCAGCUCGCAAACAACAAUUAGAGCCUUCAUAACUGAAUACAGAAUAUAUAAAUUAUAAAUGGCAUUACCACAGGUAACAGGCAGUAAUAACUACAAGUAACAAACACACAUACAUAUACAUACAUAUAUAUCUACACACACAUGUACAUAUAUGUACAUACAUACGCACACUUUUUUUUUUUUUUUGAAUCCAUACCAGCAAUGGUAAGAGAACAGACAUUACAGAGCACACUAAAAACCAUCAUUGAGUAUACUGUGACCAGACCAACUGUUUGUAGAGAAAUUUAAAUCUAUGAAUAUUUUUGCAUUGUUUCAAUUGUAAACUCAGACUGUUCCAGAUUUUCACACCACAUACAGACACACAAAAGCCUUUACGGGUUGUUCGAGUUCUGGGUAAUUUGAAUUCUCCAAAGCCUCUCACAUUAUAAACCUUUUCUCGAAUUUCAAAUCUAGUUUGUAAAUUUGCCGGUAAAAGUUUAGUAAAAGC
ensembl:lncRNA